UACGAACUGUGCGAACGUUAUUCGGAAUCACUGGGCUUACAGGGUGCGUAGGCGGCCAACUAAGUCGGAUGUGAAAUCCCCAGGCUCAACUUGGGAACUGCAUCCGAUACUGGAUGGCUUGAAUUCGGGAGAGGGAUGCAGAAUUCCAGGUGUAGCGGUGAAAUGCGUAGAUAUCUGGAGGAAUACCGGUGGCGAAGGCGGCAUCCUGGACCGACAUUGACGCUGAGGAGCGAAAGCUAGGGGAGCAAACGGG
rnacentral:rRNA from 1 species